UACCGUGAAACAACAUUGCUAUUUGAUGAGAUGCACUCUGCAGCUGCCAAUAAGCAACGAGUUGCAGUUGUUGUAGCUCAUGAAUUAGCUCAUCAAUGGUUUGGAAAUUUUGUCACAAUGGAAUGGUGGACACAUCUGUGGCUUAAUGAGGGCUUUGCGACUUGGGUGUCUUACUUAGCUGUAGAUCAGUUCUUUCCUGAAUGGAAUGUUUGGACUCAAUUUCUAGAGGAAUCUGC